rnacentral:rRNA from 1 species
CAGUAGCCGCGGUAAUACGAAGGGUGCAAGCGUUAAUCGGAAUUACUGGGCGUAAAGCGUGCGUAGGCGGUUUGUUAAGUCUGCUGUGAAAUCCCCGGGCUCAACCUGGGAAUGGCAGUGGAUACUGGCAAGCUAGAGUGUGUCAGAGGAUGGUGGAAUUCCCGGUGUAGCGGUGAAAUGCGUAGAGAUCGGGAGGAACAUCAGUGGCGAAGGCGGCCAUCUGGGACAACACUGACGCUGAAGCACGAAAGCGUGGGGAGCAAACAGGAUUAGAUACCCCCGUAGUCCCUGUCUCUUAUAA